UUAAACUUUGUCUCAUUAUCAGUAGCCCAAGGAGCUCACAGGCUCUGCCUCAGGGCCUCAUCUCUUAUGCCCUUACUCAUUCUCUAGGGCAUAAAAACAAAUGACCUGCUGGUUUUCAUUUAUUGCUAGAGCAUGUUCUCCUUGUUCAUCUUCAGCUAGGCUGACAGCAGUAGAGCAACAUCAGCAAGUUAAUUUACCUUUUGUUCACUUUUUUUUUUUUUUUCACUUUUUCAUUGACCUGACAAACACUUUUGGCCUUACUUGGAACAGAACACUGGUGCCUUCCUCCUAACUUCAGACACAGCUAACUCCACAAGCCAGUCUUCAAGCAGACCAUUGUGAAUGAAGUCUUCACUGGGCUCCCCACUGCCCACAGCUGUACUCACAGGUGCUUUCUUUGCUUACUCAAACAUUAGCUGAGACUGUUGAAUAAAUGGAUAAAGAAGGAUGAUUCAGCCUAGCCACAGUGGCACAGUGAUACCUAAUGCUCUGCCAUGUUUGAAGCCAUAUGGAAGACGGGGGAUUGGUUCCUGGCUGGAUCUGUUCAUAUUUAACCCGGACUCCUAUUGGAAAGAGAUUCAUGAAAACGUCAUUAUAGUUUUCUCUUCUGUGACCUAGAGAAGAAUACAGAAAGGGAAACUAAAAGAAGAUGGGGUGCCUGAGGUUUAGAUAGUUUGAAAUGAGCUGGUGGAAGAGAAUCAGCCUGUCUACAUCUCUGAUCUGCUACUGUCUCCUCAAUCUUUAGAUCCAUUUCCAACACAAACCCUACAGUGCCCUCCUUAGGGAUACUUGAAAGCCUGCUUGCAUUUUACUUCUUUCAAAACAAGUGAAUUAGAAGUCCCUCUCCUCCUCUUCUGCAAAAUUGCACAAGGCAACUAUGGGAGAUAAGUAAGAUUUUUCUAGAAUCACAUGAGGGCCCCCAAACUAAAACAAUAUGAAACUCUUCUAUUGAAUAUGGCUGCUUCAAAUUGAAUGUGUCUCUCAGAUGAUGAGACAACUUCUUAGAGGAAGAUGUAUUUGAAAAUAAUUACUAUUCAUCAUUCUCAUCUAACAGAACUAUUUUCUGGCCCCACCUGGGUUUCCAACCUUAGAAACUACU